rnacentral:rRNA from 1 species
AAAUGAAUAGACGGGCACCCGCACAAGCGGUGGAGCAUGCUAUUUAAUUCGACGCUACGCGAAGAACCUUACCUGGACUUGACAUCCCAUUGACCGAUUAAGAAAUUAAUCUUUCCUUUCGGGGACAAUGGUGACAGGUGGUGCAUGGUUGUCGUCAGCUCGUGUCGUGAGAUGUUUGGUUAAGUCCAAUAACGAGCGCAACCCUCAUCCUUAAUUGCUAACAUUUAGUUGAGAACCUUAAGGAAACUAUCGGUAAUAAACCGGAGGAAGGUGGGGAUGACGUCAAAUCAUCAUGCCCCUUAUGUCCAGGGCUAUAGGCGUGCUACAAUGGCCAAUAUAAUAAGUUGCAAUACCGUGAGGUGGAGCAAAUCUCUAAAGUUGGUCUCAGUCCGGAUUGGAGUCUGCAACUCGACUCCAUGAAGUAGGAAUCGCUAGUAAUCGUGAAUCAGAAUGUCACGGUGAAUACGUUCCCGGGUGUUGUACACACCGCCCGU